rnacentral:misc_RNA from 1 species
GAAAUGCGAUAAGUAAUGUGAAUUGCAGAAUUCAGUGAAUCAUUGAAAUCUUGAACGCAAAUUGCGCUUUGUUGCUUGCAACAGAGCAUGUUUGUUGGAGUGCCGUCAAAAGAUUAUACAAGUCUAUUUUGAUUUGUAAAAUGAAAGUUUACUUUAGUAAUCUUUUAAAGAAUAAUUCUUUUUAAAAGUCAAAUAUUAUGAUUUUAUUUUGAUUGGAAUGUUUAAUUACUAUUCAUUUCUUUUUAUUUUCAUAUGAUUUUUUAUUGAAUCGUUGAUUGAUAUAAUCUCUUUUUAUCUCAUCAACAUUUACACAAAACUCUUGGCCUCCAAUCAAGCAAGGUUACCCGCUGAAUUUAA